CCUACGGGAGGCAGCAGUGAGGAAUAUUGGUCAAUGGACGAGAGUCUGAACCAGCCAAGUAGCGUGAAUGAUGACUGCCCUAUGGGUUGUAAACUUCUUCUAUAAGGGGAUAAAACGAGGCACGUGUGCCUUUUUGCAUGUACUUUAUGAAUAAGGAUCGGCUCACUCCGUGCCAUCAGCCGCGGUAAUACGGAGGAUCCGAGCGUUACCCGGAUUUAUUGGGUUUAAAGGGAGCGUAGAUGGGUUGUUAAGUCAGUUGUGAAAGUGUCCGGCUCAACCGUAAAAUUGCAAUUGAUACUGGCAGUCUUGAGUCCAGUUGAGGUAGGCAGAAUUCGUGGUGUAGCGGUGAAAUGCUUAGAUAUCACGAAGAAUCCCGGUGGCGAAGGCAGCUUCCUAAACUGUGACUGACAUUGAUGCUCGAAAGUGUGGGUAGCAAACAGGACUAGAUACCCUAGUAGUC
rnacentral:rRNA from 1 species